AUUGAACGCUGGCGGCAGGCCUAACACAUGCAAGUCGAGCGGAGCGGCGGACGGGUGUGUAAUGCCUAGGAAUCUGCCUGGUAGUGGGGGAUAACGUCCGGAAACGGGCGCUAAUACCGCAUACUAUCAGAUGAGCCUCGGUCGUAUUGGCUAGUUGGUGGGGCAAAGGCCGAACAAGGCGACGAUCCGUAACUGGCCGGAGAGGAUGAUCAGUCACACUGGAACGGAGACACGGUCCAGACUCCUACGGGAGGCAGCAGUGGGGAAUAUUGGACAAUGGGCGAAAGCCUGAUCAAGCCAUGCCGCGUGUGUGAAGAAGGUCUUCGGAUUGUAAAGCACUUUAAGUUGGGAGGCGUUACCAACAGAAAAAGCACCGGCUAACUUCGUGCCAGCAGCCGCGGUAAUAC
rnacentral:rRNA from 1 species